UUGGAUUAAUUUCCUAAAUUUCGCAAAAGAAAAGAAAGGUGGUCUGUUCGACCAUUAAAUAAUUACAUGAUUUGAGUUCAGACCGGUAUAAGCCAGGUCGGAUUCUAUCUUCUAUAAAUAUUUAUAUAGUACGAAAGGGCCUAUAAUUAUAAUAUUAUUAUUUUAUUAGCAAAUAAUGCAUUAGAAUUAGAAUCUAACUAAACUUGU
rnacentral:rRNA from 1 species